AUACGUAGGUGGCAAGCGUUGUCCGGAAUUAUUGGGCGUAAAGCGCAUGUAGGCGGUGCCUUAAGUCUGUCGUGAAACUGCGGGGCCUAACCCCGUAUGGCGAUGGAAACUGUGGCACUUGAGUGCAGGAGAGGGAAGGGGAACUCCCAGUGUAGCGGUGAAAUGCGUAGAUAUUGGGAAGAACACCGGUGGCGAAGGCGCCUUUCUGGACUGUGUCUGACGCUGAGAUGCGAAAGCCAGGGUAGCGAACGGGAUUAGAUACCCCGGUAGUCCUGGCCGUAAACGAUGGGUACUAGGUGUGGGAGGUAUCGACCCCUUCCGUGCCGGAGUUAACGCAAUAAGUACCCCGCCUGGGGAGUACGGCCGCAAGGCUUAAACUCAAAUGAAUUGACGGGG
rnacentral:rRNA from 1 species